GUCCGUUUCCCAUAAGGCUGAGCUGUGAUGGCGAGCGAAAUAUAGUAGCGAAGUUCCUGAUUCCACACUGCCAAGAAAAGCCUCUAGCGAGGUGAGAGGUGCCCGUACCGCAAACCGACACAGGUAGGCGAGGAGAGAAUCCUAAGGUGAUCGAGAGAACUCUCGUUAAGGAACUCGGCAAAAUGACCCCGUAACUUCGGGAGAAGGGGUGCUCUGUUAGGGUGCAAGCCCGAGAGAGCCGCAGUGAAUAGGCCCAGGCGACUGUUUAGCAAAAACACAGGUCUCUGCGAAGCCGUAAGGCGAAGUAUAGGGGCUGACGCCUGCCCGGUGCUGGAAGGUUAAGAGGAGCGCUUAGCGUAAGCGAAGGUGCGAAUUGAAGCCCCAGUAAACGGCGGCCGUAACAAUAACGGUCCUAAGGUAGCGAAAUUCCUUGUCGGGUAAGUUCCGACCCGCACGAAAGGCGCAACGAUCUGGGCACUGUCUCAACGAGAGACUCGGUGAAAUUAUAGUACCUGUGAAGAUGCAGGUUACCCGCGACAGGACGGAAAGACCCCGUGGAGCUUUACUGCAGCCUGAUAUUGAAUGUUGGUACAGCUUGUACAGGAUAGGUAGGAGCCUUGGAAACCGGAGCGCCAGCUUCGGUGGAGGCAUCGGUGGGAUACUACCCUGGCUGUAUUGACCUUCUAACCCGCCGCCCUUAUCGGGCGGGGAGACAGUGUCAGGUGGGCAGUUUGACUGGGGCGGUCGCCUCCUAAAAGGUAACGGAGGCGCCCAAAGGUUCCCUCAGAAUGGUUGGAAAUCAUUCGCAGAGUGUAAAGGCACAAGGGAGCUUGACUGCGAGACCUACAAGUCGAGCAGGGACGAAAGUCGGGCUUAGUGAUCCGGUGGUUCCGCAUGGAAGGGCCAUCGCUCAACGGAUAAAAGCUACCCCGGGGAUAACAGGCUUAUCUCCCCCAAGAGUCCACAUCGACGGGGAGGUUUGGCACCUCGAUGUCGGCUCAUCGCAUCCUGGGGCUGUAGUCGGUCCCAAGGGUUGGGCUGUUCGCCCAUUAAAGCGGUACGCGAGCUGGGUUCAGAACGUCGUGAGACAGUUCGGUCCCUAUCCGUCGCGGGCGCAGGAAAUUUGAGAGGAGCUGUCCUUAGUACGAGAGGACCGGGAUGGACGCACCGCUGGUGUACCAGUUGUUCUGCCAAGGGCAUCGCUGGGUAGCUAUGUGCGGACGGGAUAAGUGCUGAAAGCAUCUAAGCAUGAAGCCCCCCUCAAGAUGAGAUUUCCCAUUCCGCAAGGAAGUAAGAUCCCUGAAAGAUGAUCAGGUUGAUAGGUCUGAGGUGGAAGUGUGGCGACACAUGGAGCUGACAGAUACUAAUCGAUCGAGGACUCUCCCUC
rnacentral:rRNA from 1 species